rnacentral:rRNA from 1 species
GGGCCCGCACAAGCGGUGGAGCAUGUGGUUUAAUUCGAUGAUACGCGAGGAACCUUACCAGGGCUUAAAUGUAGAACGACCGAUUUGGAAACAAGUCUUCUCUUUGAGCGGUCUACAAGGUGCUGCAUGGUUGUCGUCAGCUCGUGCCGUGAGGUGUUGGGUUAAGUCCCGCAACGAGCGCAACCCCCAUCUUUAGUUGCCAGCGGAUAAUGCCGGGGACUCUAAAGAAACUGCCUACGCAAGUAGUGAGGAAGGCGGGGACGACGUCAAGUCAUCACGGCCCUUACGUCCUGGGCCACACACGUGCUACAAUGGUAGAGACAGAGGGCAGCCACCUGGUGACAGGGAGCGAAUCCUUAAACUCUAUCUCAGUUCGGAUCGGAGUCUGCAACUCGACUCCGUGAAGCUGGAAUC